GGCUGAAGUAGGUCCCAAGGGUAUGGCUGUUCGCCAUUUAAAGUGGUACGCGAGCUGGGUUUAGAACGUCGUGAGACAGUUCGGUCCCUAUCUGCCGUGGGCGCUGGAGAAUUGAGGGGGGCUGCUCCUAGUACGAGAGGACCGGAGUGGACGCAUCACUGGUGUUCGGGUUGUCAUGCCAAUGGCACUGCCCGGUAGCUAAAUGCGGAAGAGAUAAGUGCUGAAAGCAUCUAAGCACGAAACUUGCCCCGAGAUGAGUUCUCCCUGAGACUUUAAGUCUCCUGAAGGAACGUUGAAGACGACGACGUUGAUAGGCCGGGUGUGUAAGCGCAGCGAUGCGUUGAGCUAACCGGUACUAAUGAACCGUGAGGCUUAACCUU
rnacentral:rRNA from 1 species